ACUUGUAAUCCCCAACUCUGACUCUCUAACCAGAUUAAUUUUGACCUUCUUCUGAAAAAAAAAAAGAACUAGCUUUUUUUUUUUGCAUAAGCAUUUAUGCAUGUAAAAGGAACUCUGUCUUUAAAAAUCAGACAGAACAGUAUUUGUUUUGUGCUGCAUCUUAUUUCUUUCCCAAUAAACGAUGCCCAAAUUAGGUCAUUUAAUACUUUAUAAUAUUACCUGAUGUAUAUUUCACUGCCUAUUUUUCUUCUCUGAAAUACAGAUUGAAAAAUAAUCUUUUCUUCCCCCAUGAAAGGUAAAAACAAUUCUCUUAGUCAUAAAUUAUUUCUUUUUCCACAGUCAUUAUAUUUAUUCAGCGUGAUUGAAAUGAAAAACAUAUUAAAUGAUUAUUUUUCUGGGGACAUAUCUCUGUGCUUAUUCAGUCAGUAUGCAUGAAGCCACAGGUUCAGUUUCUCACAGUCAUAAACUCAGCAUAGUCCUGGAUAGCUUUGAUCCUAGCAUUCCAGAGGUAGCAACUGAGGGAUGCACUUUGUCAGGACAGCCUGGACUAUGCUCCCUCUCAAAACAAUCAAUUAACCAACCAAACAAACAAAUGAAAACAACAACAACAAAAAACAAAAAAUAAAAACCUAAAAUCAAAGCACCAUUCUCCACCACCAAAUGAAACACCAAACAGCCAAAUGAAAUAAGAGAGUCUUCCCUGAAUGUCCCUCCAAACAGAUGGUCUAAAGACCCACAUUUCCACAUGAUUCCAUCAGACCCUUAGAAAGAAUUCAAUGCAGAUUCCUUUUUGAGGGUUUAUUUUUCAACAGUCACCGCACAGGUGAGGGGGAGGAAAAUCUUUCCCUCCCCUUUCAGAGGUUCAGUAGUUGAGUGGGAAAUAAACUGACAGUAGAUGGAUUAGUAGGAGAAAGAUUCAUACAUUUAUUAUGAGCAUAGAGAUAUCACAUGAAAGAGGAGCAAAUUCCCCAAAUCCCAGCAGAGACCCACAGGUGUACACACCUUCUUGACAAGGAGAAGGGGAGUGCAGCCAAUUUGGAGGGGGAACAAAUCACUUGGGAGAUAAAUGAGUGACCCCAGAAUAGAGGCUUGUGCUGUGCUCCAGACUGCAGAGGACUCUGCACACCUGAGUUCCUUUUAGAGAUUGUCUCGACACAGACAGAUCAGAGAAUGGAGAGAG
rnacentral:lncRNA from 1 species